rnacentral:tRNA from 1 species
AUCUGUUUGGAGUUGUGGUUAGUGCGCUCGGCUGUGGAUCCGGGCGACGCGGGUUCGAUUCCCCCUACCAGAUG